CAGUUGAGACUAUGGACAGGGGAGCCAGCCAGAAACAUUUCUUAAAUCUCUGCCUUUGCCUCUUUCAAACUGUAUGCCCUAGGUGGUAUGGCAGAGUUCCAGGCCUAGCGGCUGCUCCCUGCACCUGCCCCCUCCACAUCCAAUUUCUUUGCAAUGGCCUAAAAAGCUAACCAAGCUGAAAUAGCUCAUUCCAAGGCUCUCAAACUCUGGCACCGUCAUUCAGUGUUUGCAGAGACCUAGUCUCAUCCUGGCCACUCACCACUUCCCAUCUGUUGGGAGCACUGGGCUGCGGUGUCUUUGAUGCUCACCAUCCCGUUGGCCUUGAGGACAAGAUAGUAGAAAGACCACCUUAUGGGAAGGAGGAAGGAAUUAUGUUAGCUCAUGAUUCCAGAAGUUUCCGUUUGUGAUCAGCUGGCUCCACUAUUCCCGAGCCUGUGUUGAGGCAGAAGCAUCAUGCUGUGGGAGUACAGAUGGGACCCUGUGUAAGCCCUGCUGGCCCCAGACUCAUUAUGCAGUGAUGGCUUUGAUUUUCUGAUCCUCUUGGCUCCACCCCUGGAGUGCUGGGAUUACAAGCACAGGUCACCACAAGGGUUUCAAGGCCUGGAUCAAACCAGGAGUUUGUGAUAUCUGAGGUGUAUAUUUCAAGAGUGAAAAAUGCAAUGGUUUGGGGCAGAUGAUGAGAUAGGCAUCUACAUUGGAUCAGAACCUGUCAAGUUUCAUAGGGGAUAAAAAUGAUGGUGCCCUUUAGCUCUCUUCCUAACCUUCUGUAACAUCUACCGAGACCGAGUAUAACAGCCAAUCUUGGUUUUCAACUUGAUUAAACCUGAAAUCAAAUGAAACCCAAGCAACUGGACAAGUCUGUGAAGGAUUGCACUGAGUGGGUCAUUUGAGGCUAGAAGAGUCACCCUAAAUCCGAGCCACACCUUCUGAUGGCAGCACAUAGAAAACGACAGGGGGAAGGAGACAUCUGUCUUUUGCCUACUUGUUUUCACUAUGGCUGGCAAGUUCAUCUGCUCUGUUUCAGCCAUUCCUUUGCUGGUGUUUGAGACCACUGCUUUGGGAUUCUAACAUAGACUGAAGGCUGGUUGCUCUCUAGGACACUUCUGGGACUCCAGGACCAGAUCUGGAUUGCUGAGAUAACUAGUCUCAUGAACUGAAUAACACCCAGACCCAAACCUUGGCAUUUCUGGAGGACUUGGACUGCAGCCUGUAAGCCACUCUAAUAAAGAACAUAUAUAUAUGAACUG
rnacentral:lncRNA from 1 species